rnacentral:rRNA from 1 species
AGCAGUCGCCACGGUAAUACGUAGGGUGCGAGCGUUAAUCGGAAUUACUGGGCGUAAAGCGUGCGCAGGCGGUUGUGUAAGACAGGUGUGAAAUCCCCGGGCUUAACCUGGGAACUGCGCUUGUGACUGCACAGCUAGAGUAUGGCAGAGGGGGGUGGAACUCCACGUGUAGCAGUGAAAUGCGUAGAGAUGUGGAGGAACACCGAUGGCGAAGGCAGCCCCCUGGGCCAAUACUGACGCUCAUGCACGAAAGCGUGGGGAGCAAACAGGACUAGAUACCCGCGUAGUCCCUGUCUCUUAUAC